GAUGAACGCUGGCGGCGUGCCUAAUACAUGCAAGUCGAGCGAACGGACGAGAAGCUUGCUUCUCUGGUGUUAGCGGCGGACGGGUGAGUAACACGUGGUUAACCUACCUAUAAGACUUGGGUAACUUCGGGAGACCGUAGCUAAGAACGGGUAAUAUUUUGAACCGCAUGGUUCAAAAGUGUAAUACGGUCUUGCUGUCACUGAUAGAUGGAUCCGCGCUGCAUUAGCUAGUUGGUAAGGUAACGGCUUACCAAGGCAACGUUGCAUAGCCGACCUGAGAGGGUGGUCGGCCACACUGGAACUGAGACACGGUCCAGACUCCUACGGGACGCAGCAGUAGGGAAUCUUACGCAAUGGGCGAAAGCCUGACGGAGCAACGCCGCGUGAGUGAUGAAGGUCUUCGGAUCGUAAAGCUCUGUUAUUAGGGAAGAACAUAUGUGUAAGUAACUGUGCACAUCUUGACGGUACCUAAUCAGAAAGCCACGGCUAACUACGUG
rnacentral:rRNA from 1 species